UUUAACAAAAACAUGGCCUUUUGAUAAUAAUUUAAGGUCUAAUCUGCCCACUGAGGAAAUAAAUGGCCGCGGUAUUUUGACCGUGCAAAGGUAGCAUAAUCAUUAGUUUUUUAAUUGAAAGCUGGAAUGAAUGAUUGGAUGAGAAAAUAACUGUCUCAAAUUUAUUUUAUUAGAAUUUUAUUUUUAAGUUAAAAAGCUUAAAUAUUUUUAAAAGACGAGAAGACCCUAUAGAGUUUAAUAAUUAAGUUAAGUUAAAUUAAAUUUUUUAAUAAUUUAUUUUAUUUUAAUUAUUUAAUUGGGGUGAUUAAAAAAUUAAAUAAACUUUUUUUAAAUUUUUAUACUUAUUAGUAAUAAUUUGAUCCAAAAAUUUUGAUUAUAAGAUUAAAUUACCUUAGGGAUAACAGCGUAAUUUUUUUUAAGAGUUCUAAUCGAAAAAAAAGAUUGCGACCUCGAUGUUGGAUUAAAGUAAAAUUUUGGUGUAGAAGCUAAAAGAUUAGGUCUGUUCGACCUUUAAAACUUUACAUGAUCUGAGU
rnacentral:rRNA from 1 species